rnacentral:rRNA from 1 species
AUUGAACGCUGGCGGCAUGCUUUACACAUGCAAGUCGAACGGUAACAGGCCGCAAGGUGCUGACGAGUGGCGAACGGGUGAGUAAUGCAUCGGAACGUGCCCAGUCGUGGGGGAUAACUACUCGAAAGAGUAGCUAAUACCGCAUACGAUCUAUGGAUGAAAGCGGGGGACCGUAAGGCCUCGCGCGAUUGGAGCGGCCGAUGUCAGGUUAGGUAGUUGGUGGGGGAAAGGCUCACCAAGCCAACGAUCUGGAGCUGGUGUGAGAGGGCGACAGGCCACACUGGGACUGGACCACGGCCCAGACUCCUACGGGAGGCAGCAGUGGGGAAUUUUGGACAAUGGGCGCAAGCCUGAUCCAGCAAUGCCGCGUGCAGGAAGAAGGCCUUCGGGUUGUAAACUGCUUUUGUACGGAACGAAACGGCUCUGGUUAAUACCCGGGGCUAAUGACGGUACCGUAAGAAUAAGCACCGGCUAACUACGUG